AACGCUGGCGGCGCGCUUAACACAUGCAAGUCGAGCGAGAACCAGGGCUUCGGCCCUGGGGACAGCGGCGAACGGGUGAGUAACACGUGGGUAAUCUGCCCUCGACAUCGGGAUAGCCCGGGGAAACCCGGAUUAAUACCGAAUAGCCUCCGGAGCCUUCGGGCGCCGGAGAAAAGGUAGCUUAGGCCUCUGGUCGAGGAUGAGCCCGCGGCGGAUUAGCUUGUUGGCGGGGUAACGGCCCACCAAGGCGA
rnacentral:rRNA from 1 species